CCUACGGGAGGCAGCAGUGGGGAAUAUUGCGCAAUGGGCGAAAGCCUGAUGGAGCGACGCCGCGUGGGGGAUGAAGGGUUUCGAUCCGUAAACCCCUGUCAUUUGCGAACAAACCUUAGGCAAUAAGACUGCCUGAGCUGAUUGUAGUGAAAGAGGAAGGGACGGCUAACUCUGUGCCAGCAGCCGCGGUAAU
rnacentral:rRNA from 1 species